rnacentral:rRNA from 1 species
UGGGGAAUAUUGCAUCAAUGGGCGGCAAGCCUGACUGCAGCCAUGCCCGCGCUGUAUGAAGAAGGCCAAUUCGGGGCUUUGGUUAAAGAUACUUUUCAGCGGGGAGGAAGGUGUUGAGGUUAAUAACCUCAGCAAUUGACGUUACCCGCAGAAGAAGCACCGGCUAACUCCGUGCCAGCAGCCGCGGUAAUACGGAGGGUGCAAGCGUUAAUCGGAAUUACUGGGCGUAAAGCGCACGCAGGCGGUCUGUCAAGUCGGAUGUGAAAUCCCCGGGCUCAACCUGGGAACUGCAUUCGAAACUGGCAGGCUAGAGUCUUGUAGAGGGGGUAGAAUUCCAGGUGUAGCGGUGAAAUUGCGUAGAGAUCUGGAGGAAUACCGGUGGCGAAGGCGGCCCCCUGGACAAAGACUGACGCUCAGGUGCGAAAGCGUGGGAGCAAACA